rnacentral:lncRNA from 1 species
UUUAUCGUAUUGUUUUCCUAGUUAGGCUAGACUUGGGAUUUUAUUUCCUUUUUACACAAGACUCGGACGGCAAUUUUUGGGCAUUGGAAUCAAACUUACUUUUCAUUAUUUUCUCUCAUUUUUACUUGUCAUCAUGUUUGCUUUCUCGUUUUUUUUUUUUUUUUAAUAAUUAAUUAUGUUUUCUAGCUAUUUUCCUUUUAUUUUGGUAUUAAUUAGGAAAGACCUAGCACAAUUAUUACGUGAAAUUUAAUUUAUUCUUAAUACUUAAAUUUAUGCAAAUAUUUGUAAUUAUUUAUGUUAAUGUUAUUAUUUGUUUCAAAUUGCUAGGUAGUACGCAAUAUUUAGUGGUUUG